CGGAAGAGAAAGAAUAUGAUAAAGAUAGAAAGAAGAUGAAGAUGGCUGUGAUGGAACUUGCUGAAAAUGAUCACAGGAUUCGGUGUGCCUUAUUUGGUGAAUAUGUUGACGAACUUAAUCGAUUUCUGUCUUCU